UUUUACUAACAAUAUGCAUCUGCUUUUCAGUAGCUUGUCUCAUCAGAACUUCACAGUUAAACGUGCUUUACUUGAAGUAAUAUAGGGAUGGGUGACCUUCUGGAAAGUUUCUAGAAAUUGUGUAAU
rfam:Cajanus cajan Scaffold000406_15, whole genome shotgun sequence.